UACGGAGGGUGCAAGCGUUGUCCGGAAUUAUUGGGCGUAAAGGGCGCGUAGGCGGCCUUGUAAGUAGGGGGUGAAAUCCUGCGGCUUAACCGCAGGGCUGCCUUCUAAACUGUCAGGCUUGAGCACGGUAGAGGCAGAUGGAAUUCCCGGUGUAGCGGUGGAAUGCGUAGAGAUCGGGAAGAACAUCAGUGGCGAAGGCGGUCUGCUGGGCCGUUGCUGACGCUGAGGCGCGACAGCGUGGGGAGCAAACAGG
rnacentral:rRNA from 1 species